UCCCAUUAACCAAAAAAGCCCAAACCUCCCUUACCCUUUAACAAAACCUAAGACUUCAUUCUAAAAAGAACCCCAUCCCCAGCUGUUUUCCAGGACCAUCAGCGACAGACCCCUCCCCCCUCCAAUCGGCUCUUCUUCAACAUCAACACAAGACAUAAGAACAAAACCUAGAGAUCAACCUAAUCUCCUACAGGAGACAAAAAGAUAGCCGCAGCAUAACCCCUAAAAACCUCCAUCGCCGCCGCGUCUCCAUCACCUACAAAACAGCGGCCACCUCCUAAAACCAGCAACAUCUGGCCGACCGCCGGCCUCCCCCGUUGUCACACCACCCGCACACCCCACUGAGAUCGACACCUACAGAAAUAGUCGCCUAUUACCUAAAUCAAGAGGCAGCGGCAGACAUCCCUACAAAAAAAAAUAAUAAGCAUAAUUUCUACGCCAAAAGAGAGAUUCUGCCGUGAAAACAUACAAAAAAAAGACAAAAAAAAAAAGCAAAGUAAAAAGAAGACAAAAAAGCGGCGGACAUAUAGAAAUUGGAGACGUUACUCCAUUUCCCAUUUCUAAUGGAUUCCAACUUUGUAUUUAUUUUCUUUCCUUCGGUCUUUUCUCCCGAUAAUCCGUUACAUGCUUUUCUUUAGAAAGAUUUUUGAUUCUCCGAUUUUGGCCUGAUUUGAGUAUCUCCGUCGAGGUUCCGUCGAGGUUGUCGCGUCCAAGGUUUCCGGUCGAUAUUUGAAUAGCAAUCGAGGUGCUAUUUGUAAGAUUUGGUUUAUCGUUCAUCUGUGGGUUAUGUUGUUGAUGUAUGAAGAGGUUCUUGCUUAAGCAAAAUCCGGAGAAAGCUUUGCUACAGAGAAGGUAUGGAUCAGUGUACCGGAGCUUGAGCAUGGCAGAUGCCCCAGGACCAUCCAGUCAGGAUCAUUAUAUUUAUGAAUUGCUUGAGGAUAGAUUUUAUAUUUUGAGUCUGUUUUCAUGUUAUCUUUUAUUUUCUAGUCUUGUACAGUUGUAUCGAGUCUUUUAGUUGGUGUCAGAGCCUGUCAUAGUCUAGUUGAGUUCGUCGAGUCUUUUGUUAUCGUAUUUGCUAUUUUGUAUGUGAAAACCAAAAAAAAUUAAAUGAAAAAUCCAAAAAGAUUUUUUUUAAAA